rnacentral:ncRNA from 1 species
UGACCCCAUCUCAUGCGAGAGCACCCGCUCAGUUUAAGCAUAUAAUUAAGCAGAGGAAAAGAAACUUACAAGGAUUCCCCUAGUAAUGGCGAGCAAACCGGGAAGAACCCAGCAUGAAAAUCAGGUGGCAGUGUCACCUGAAUUGUAGUCUGUAGAAGCGUCCUUAGCAGAAGACCAGGCCCAAGUCCCCUGGAAGGGGGCGCCUGAGAGGGUGAUAGCCCCAUCGGGCCGGGACCCUACCGCACCACGAGGCAUUGUUGGCGAGUUAGGUUGUUUGGGAAUGCAGCCCUAAUCGGGUGGUAAAUUUUGUCCAAGGAUAAAUACGGGCGAGAGACUAAUAGAGAACAAGUACCGUGAGGGAAAGAUGAAAAGGACUUUGAAAAGAGAGUUAAAGAGUGCAUGAAAUUGCCAGGAGGGAAGCAGAUGGAGGCCGAUGAUGUGUCUUGAUUGGAUGCGAAACGACUCAAGCUGGUCCAUCACUCGACUUGAGGUGCGAACCAUCACAGGUCGUUGCACCAGCAUAAGCACAGGUGGAGUACUGUCGGUUGGUUUUCCAUUGUGGCAGUCGAGGAACAAAGCGUGCACCCUUGGGACGGGCCACUAUGCACCUGCAUGCUCGUGGUGUUGGUUGGCGGGCUUUCCAUUC